GGAUGAAGAACGUAGCGAAAUGCGAUACUUGGUGUGAAUUGCAGAAUCCCGUGAACCAUCGAGUCUUUGAACGCAAGUUGCGCCCGAAGCCAUCAGGUUGAGGGCACGUCUGCCUGGGCGUCACAUAUCGUUGCCCAAUGCCUAUUGCAGUGCAAUAGGAAUUUCUAGGGCGAAUGAUGGCUUCCCGUGAGCGUUGUUGCCUCGCGGUUGGGUGAAAAUCGAGUCCUUGGUAGGGUGUGCCAUGGUAGAUGGUGGUCGAGUUAGAACGAUACCGAUCAUGUGCAUGCUCCCCAAAAUAUGGCCUCUAUGACCCACACGCGUCUUUUGACGCUCAUGACGAGACCUCAGGUCAGGCGGGGCUACCCGCUGAAUUUAAGCAUAUCAAUAAGCGGAGGA
rnacentral:misc_RNA from 1 species